rnacentral:SRP_RNA from 1 species
GCCGGGCGCAGUGCUGCGUGCCUGUAGUCCCAGCUACUCGGGAGGCUGAGGUGGGAGGAUUGCUUGAUCCCAGGAGUUCUGGGCUGUAGUGCGCUAUGCUGACCGGGUGUCCACACUAAGUUCAGCAUCAAUGUGGUGACCUCCUGGGAGCGGGGGACCACCAGAUUGUCUAAGGAGGGGUGAACCGGCCCAGGUCGGAAAUGGAGCAGGUCAAAACUCUCAUGCUGAUCAGGAGUGGGAUCAUGCCUAUGAAUAGCCACUGCACUCCAGCCUGGGCAAUAUAGUGAGACCCCGUCUCU